rnacentral:rRNA from 1 species
UACGUAGGGGGCAAGCGUUGUCCGGAUUCAUUGGGCGUAAAGAGCGUGUAGGCGGCCAGGUAGGUCGGUUGUGAAAACUGGAGGCUCAACCUUCAGACGUCGACCGAAACCAUCUGGCUAGAGUCCGGGAGAGGAGAGUGGAAUUCCUGGUGUAGCGGUGAAAUGCGUAGAGAUCCGGAAGAACACCGGUGGCGAAGGCGGCCUGCUGGGCAGUGGCUGACGCUGAGGCGCGGCAGCGUGGGGAGCAAACAGG